UUUUGGAUUUAACUGUGGUUAAUCCUCAGGAGAGUCCCAAGUGCACACUGCCACAGCAGAAGGAAAGGACCUUGCUGGUGCCAGUGGACUCUUCAUAAGACCAGAGAGAAAAUGAAACUGGACUCUACACAGGGCAGACCAGCAGGUUCUUGUAAAGGUUCCAAAGUCACUAGAGGAAUUGAUGAAUAGAACAAUCUCAGCUGCUUCCUUGUGCAUCAUCACCUGGGAAGAGAUGCUUUGUGUUCCUUUGAAGAAUAUGUACGUGAUAGGAAGAGAGCCAUUCUCCGAGAGACAAGACAGGGUCACAUUCUGGCCUUUCUUUGCUUGAGAGGUGGAGAUCCAGAAUCUGAGUUGCAGGAGAGGGUCACGUUCUGGUUCAUCACUACAUUCAAAGUCCCCUGAACAGGUUUGAGCCUGGGAUUGGACAGCAUCUCUGGAAAGAAGAAACUGCUGAGUGAGUUCACUGCACCAUUCAUCCAAGAAACCCAGAUUUUUCCCAAAAUAUGUUGAAGACCACUCUAUACUAAUUUCUGUUGAAAUAGGGGGUUAUAGGGUCUUUUUCAUCUUCUGAUUGCAGGCAACACAGCUUUGUAUGUUUCAAAACCAAUAUAGAGCUUCAAACACUUGAUGACUCAUAGAAAUAAUGACAAGUGCAUGUCUUCAUGCAAGAGAGAGCAUAUGCAUACAAAGCCAACAGAUGUAUCCAGAUGAAACAACAAAAAUACUUUCAAACUACAGAAGGAAUUAAAGUAAUACAAGUAUAAAAGAUAAAUAUAAAUUUUAUGGGAUGUUAAUUGUCGGAGAAAGUAACCCUAUGAGAUAGUUGAGAGGUAGCAUGUGAACCCACAAGUAAAAGCAGUAUUUUAUAUGUGGCUGUAUCAGGCAGAAUUAACGUUGUGUAAGUAGAUUGAACUUUUGGAUAGUAGCAGCAAGAGCCUUGACAGUCUGUCAAAUUAGUUUGCUUUUAUGAUAUUAAAUAAAUUUGUAAUAAAAACUUGUAUUUUCAU